CGAAACUAGGACGUGAACAAUAACAAAAGCAACAUUACUGCAAUGAUACUAAAGAAUACAAUAAAAACAACAUUAUAAUAGAAAUGACAUUAUAGAAAGAAUACAGCAGAGGAAAAAUUUACAUUAACGUAUGAUGAUGCUACGGAGAGGCAAUAUUCUCCACAGCCGAAUGCCCAUCUAAUCCAGAUUUGUUUGCGUGGACGACCGAAACAACAACAACGUUUGCAUGAAUGAAUAUAUGAUGACUGGUUUACAAUGUGUAGCUGUUCACCAGAUUGUGCCUUCAUCUCAGAGUGGGAGUCAACGUCGUAAGAUAAAACAUGUCUUUUAUUUCAAAAUCAAUCAUAUUUACACUUAUACUUAAAACUUUUCCAUUUAGUGAUUGAAUUUUUCAGUGAUUGAUUUUUUUUCUUUAAACUCAUUUCAAUACGCUAACCACCUACUUUCCGUGAAGUUCCUGUCUGAUCAUCUUCUUCGUGUUUUUCUACUCUCCAAAGCCGUUGUCAACUGUCUUUGU